rnacentral:rRNA from 1 species
AGUGAACGCUGGCGGUAGGCCUAAUACAUGCAAGUCGAACGGCAGCACAGUAAGAGCUUGCUCUUACGGGUGGCGAGUGGCGGACGGGUGAGGAAUACAUCGGAAUCUACUUUUUCGUGGGGGAUAACGUAGGGAAACUUACGCUAAUACAGCAUACGUCCUACGGGUGGAAGCAGGGGAUAUUCGUACCUUUCGCGAUUGAAUGAGCCGAUGUCGGAUUAGCUAGUUGGCGGGGGAAAGGCAGCCCAAGGCAGGCGUCGGUACAUGGCCUGAGAGGAUGAUCAGCCACACUGGAACGGGGACACGGCCCAGACUCCUACGGGAGGCAGCAGUGGGGAAUAUUGGACAAUGGGCGAAAGCCUGAUCCAGCCAGACCGCGUGGGGGAAGAAGGCCUUCGGGUGGUAAAGCCCUUUUGUUGGGAAAGAAAAGCAGCAGGGUAAUACCCCGCUGUUCUGACGGUACCCAAAGAAUAAGCACCGGCUAACUUCGUG